GGGAGAACCCUCCUCCGCAAUGUGGAGUGCCCUGUGUGUGGUAUUAGGUACCAUCUCCUAGAGAGGCACCUAAGAAAGCACCAAGGUCUAACUCAAGAACAGCUGGACAACCAUGUGAAGGAGCUGAAGUGGGCGUCGGCCAUGCAAAAGCUGAGGGAACUCAGGGAAAAAAAUCCUGAGUUUCCUAUGGUGUCCACCUUUGAUUUGGUGGAAGCCAUACAAGAGGGCCAGCCAGAUCAAAACCAGGAGCUUCUGGAUGUGUUGGAUAGGUUGUUUAUUCACUCUGGUUUGAAAAUAACUGUAAAUAAAUGUUUGGUUAUACAAACAUUUCACUGACUCUUUGUUUCACAGGAGAUUUAGACGAGAUGGUUUGUGGGGACCCACUGCUUAAUGAUGGCCCUGUAGAUUGGGCUGUGGUCAUGCAAGGAGCACUAAUGGAGCCAUUUGAUGCAGACCUGCAGCAAUGGCUUGAUGGCCCUGUUAAUGGGGCCGAAGGCAUGCCAGGUAAGGUGUUAAGUAGCCAACCCAUUAGUAAUCAGCCUGUAUUGUUUCAAAUUUAAGAUUGGUUAAUGGAUGUUGUUUU